rnacentral:tRNA from 2 species
GGAGAGAUGGCCGAGUGGUCGAAGGCGCUCCCCUGCUAAGGGAGUAUGGGCCCUUAAAUCCCAUCGAGGGUUCGAAUCCCUCUCUCUCCGCCA